CACACAUCUUAACCACCAAGAAAAAGAGAAAUUACAUUUAUUUCUUAACAAGUUUCAAGAUUUAUUCCAGCCACCCGACGAAAAGUUGCCCUUUACAACAAAGGUAGAAGCAACCAUAGCCACGAAUGAUACGGAACCAAUUUACUAAUCGCGUUUUUCACCCUAUAUGGUGUUCUACAAGCUAGCAUAAACAUUUUCGACAUAACAAACAACCCAUUGGCUAUUGUUCCGUUAGGACAAGCAAAAAUUAGGAUCGGAUACUUGAGGACGAUUCAUCCAAUUGAUCUUACCGAGCUAGAAGAGAUAAUUUCUAGAGUUUUUGAAAAUAGCACAAACAGUACAGGAAAAUCCCCAUUGCAAAGUUUAAUUAAUUUGAAGCUCGAAAAACUUAACGCCACAAUUUCUAAGAUUAGGCCACGUAGACUUCGAACGAAAAGAUGGAACAGUAUAGGUACCGCCUGGAAGUGGAUAGCUGGCAGUCCCGACGCAGAAGAUCUAACGAUAAUCAACACCACCCUGAAUUCGCUCAUCCUACAAAACAACGAGCAGCUAUUAAUCAAUAAUGGUCUCAGCAGAAGAUUCCAAGAAACAACCAAUAUUGCUAAUCAUGUUAUCGACCUUCAGAAUAGGAUCCAAAGGGAACAUCAAACUGAGAUACAACAGAUCAUUAAGAUAACAAACCUAGACGCAUUACAAGCCCAUAUAAAAACACUCCAAGAAGCCAUACUAGCCGCUAAGCAUGGGAUACCGAAUAGCGAGCUACUAUCAAUAGAAGACUUAAACACCGUUGCAGAAUUUCUGGCACAAAAUGGCAUUUACUAUACAUCAGUUGAAGAAAUGUUAACACAAGCCACAGCACAAGUUACCAUGAAUUCAACACACGUGAUAUUUAUGCUAAAGUUUCCACGUCUAUCCUAUGAAACUUAUGAGUACAACUAUAUCGACUCUAUCAUACAAAAUGAUAAGAGAAUCUUAAUCAAGCAUAACUACAUAAUCCGGAAUCUAACCCAUAUGUUCGAAUUACCGCAGCCCUGUAUCGAUCAGAGCAGCCACCAGCUUUGCGAAAGUAAAGAUCUGGAAGAGCCUUCACGCUGCAUACGACAACUCGUACAAGGGGAGCAUACAGAAUGUAUGUACGAAAAGGUGUAUUCAACGGGAUUAGUUAAACACAUUAACAAUGCGAAUAUUCUAUUGAAUGAUGCCACUGCCGAAAUUUCAUCCAACUGCAGCAAUAUAAACCACAUUCUUAAUGGAUCAUAUCUCAUACAAUUUCACAACUGCAAUAUCUUUAUUAACGGAGAACUCUUUCCCAGCACAGAAGUUUCGAUAACCGGUAAACCAUAUAUAUCAACUCUUGGCCUCAUCGCUAAAGAAGACGGCAUCAGAGACGAACCUUCAAUUGAACAUCUUCGAAACAUAACAUUGCAGCACAGAGAGAAACUACAUACCAUCAGCCUGGUUAAUAAUUCCCUCACAUGGAAACUUCAUAUCUUUGGGUCAAUUGGGCUAACGACAAUUGUUCUGAUAACAAUAGCAAUUUUAUAUUUCAUUACCAGUAUAAGAAGAACGAAAAUAAGCCUCAACAUUCCAACGAACAACACCAACCGACAGGAUGUCCACCACAUAGAAACCUUCGUGAAAAAACCCACAACAUUCCAUGCUCUCGGCAGACUUUGAGGGCAAAGUCAUCUAAGAAGGGAGGAGUUAGACCGACCCGCUAGAAACCAGACUGCAAGCUGGCAUUCCACACCGGCUACGAGCAGACGAAGAUGUAACGCUACACCGGCCACGAGCGGACAACGGCGACAUGCGCAAGUAAUGCGACACGCAGACCGAUCGUGAGAACGGACCAAUGCAGCCAGCAACCAGCGGCUUCGUUAGAACAUUAGCUCGUUAGGUUUAGUCAGUCGAAGUCUAGAGUCAGCCAGAUAUAGAUCAUAGUUUAGCUUUAGUCAGGAGUAAUCCUGUUUGUGUAAAAUAAAAAUCUUUUUUUUAUGGCCAACCGGCCUAGAUAAAGAUUAA